rnacentral:tRNA from 1 species
GCAUUGGUGGUUCAAUGGUAGAAACCUUGCCUGCCGCGCGCGAGACCUGGGUCCAAUUCUCAGCCACUGCA